UGGUGUAUGGACGCAUUGAUUGAUCGAUCGAUUGAUUUAUUGUAUUCAUGCAGUUUUGCACACUGCUUGCCUGUCAGUCUUUGUGUGUAGGUUUUCUUUGACUCUAAUGCAUUUGUUUGUUCAACUGUGAAUGCCUGCAAUAAAUGAAUCUCAGGUUAGUGUGACAUACACAGUACAUACUUUGUACUUUGAACUUUUCUGAGGAGCUGCACAUGAGUGAGCUAGAUUGGCUGGUUGAGUGGUGUUGCUACAACAGCCCUGCAUUCAACGUCAGUGAGGCCAAGGAAUUGAUGUGGACUUCAGGAAGGGGAAGUCGAGGGAACGCGCACCAGUCCUCAUCGAGGUGACUCCAGUGGAGAGGGGGAUACCCAAGAUGUGAUGAAGGCACCUUAAGCGAAACGUGCUGAGCCUUCUCUCCUGCUUAGCGUAUGUUGUCCAGGUCUCGCCGCUGUACAGCAGUGUGACGCAAGCAUUAUACCCUGCCGGCUUUGUUUUGACUGAGAGCUUGGAGUUCUCCCAGACUGAUGCAGUGAGGCAGGUAAGAGUUGUUGCUGAUGCCUGAGUCCAAGGAGAGGUUGUCACUGAUGAUGAACCCCAGGUAUGUGAACUGAUGAACAACAUUCAGUUUGUAGUUAUCAACAGUAAUGAAUGGUGGUGCCUUCACGUCCUGCCCAAGACAUUUGUCUUUUUCAGGCUAACGGUCAGACCAAAUUCCUUGCACGUGCGGGAGAAGCGAUCCAUCAAGCUCUGGAGCUGCCACGGAGCAUGGGUUGCAACUGCUGCAUCAUCAGCCCACAGCACGUCUUUUCUGCCGCUACCUAAAAGGAGUUUGUAUGUUUUUCCUGUGACAUGUGGGCUUCCUCCCACAGUCCAAAGAUGUACUGGUUGCUACAAAGAAAGCACAACAGUGGCUAUACUUCAUUAGAGUUUAAGGGAUUUGGUAUGUCACCAAGGACACUCGCAACUUGCUGGGAAAGCAUUGGAAGCAUUCUGUCUGACUGCAUCACUGUUUGUAUGUGGGGGUGGGGGUGUGGCUACUGCAAGGUAUCAGAAUAAGGUGCAGAGAGUUGAAAAUUUAGUCAGCUCCAUCAUGGGCACUAGCUUAAAAUGAUGAGUGUCCAUCAUUAAGGACUCCAGCAACCAAGACAUGUCCUCUGCUCAUUGCUACCCACUCAACGAUUCAGGAACAGUUUCUUUCCCUCUGCCACCUGAUU